rnacentral:rRNA from 1 species
UACCCGCUGAACUUAAGCAUAUCAAUAAGCGGAGGAAAAGAAACUAACAAGGAUUCCCCUAGUAACGGCGAGUGAAGAGGGAAGAGCUCAAAUUUUGAAUCUGGCGUCUUUGGCGUCCGAAUUGUAAUCUAGAGAAGUGUUUUCCGUGACGGACCGUGCAUAAGUCUCCUGGAAUGGAGCGUCAUGGAGGGUGAGAAUCCCGUAUAUGGCACGGACUCCCGUUGCUCUGUGAUACACUCUCGACGAGUCGAGUUGUUUGGGAAUGCAGCUCUAAACGGGUGGUAAAUGCCAUCUAAAGCUAAAUAUUGGCGAGAGACCGAUAGCGAACAAGUACCGUGAGGGAAAGAUGAAAAGCACUUUGGAAAGAGAGUGAAACAGUACGUGAAAUUGUUGAAAGGGAAACGCUUGAAGUCAGUCGCGCCGUUCGGGAUUCAGCCUUGCUUCUGCUCGGUUUACUUCCCGUUGGGUGGGUCAACAUCAGUUUCGGUCGGAGGAGAAAGACUUGGGGAAGGUGGCAGCAUUCGUGCUGUGUUAUAGCCCCUUGUUGUAUACUUCGACUGGGACUGAGGAUCGCAGCACGCCUUUGGCCGGGGUUCGCCCACGUACGUGCUUAGGAUGUUGGCAUAAUGGCUUUAAGCGACCCGUCUUGAAACACGGACCAAGGAGUCUAACAUGUGUGCGAGUGUUUGGGUGUCAAACUCGGAUGCGAAAUGAAAGUGAAAAGUUGGGAACACUUAUGUGUGCACCGACGCCCGGAGCUGACCUUCUGUGACGCAUCUGCGGUAGAGCAUAUAUGUUGGGACCCGAAAGAUGGUGAACUAUGCCUGAAUAGGGUGAAGCCAGAGGAAACUCUGGUGGAGGCUCGUAGCGAUUCUGACGUGCAAAUCGAUCGUCAAAUUUGGGUAUAGGGGCGAAAGACUAAUCGAACCAUCUAGUAGCUGGUUCCUGCCGG